UUGUAGUCAACAUCAUGAGGGAAUCUCUCUUAGAGGGAACACUGUCCCUCACCUGUAUGUACAUGGGGCUAGUGAAACUGAUGUGAGAUGUACACAAGAAAUCUGCCCUCUUGUGUCAUUUCCCUCAAUUCAUAUAUUGCUGAAGUGAGAUGAGAUGCAGGCAAGGGAACUGGUACCCCUUUUCAUCACACACAGAACUGGGCUUCAGAACACACAGGUUUGUGAUGCUAAAGUCAAAGUCAGAAGUGGUACCACAAUAAUUUGGGGGGGAGGCGAGCAAAAUAUAUACAAGUAUGCAGCAUAACAAAAAUAUGUAAACUGAUCCCCCCCAUGGAUAACCUUGGUGUGUGUGUGUGGGGGGGGUGUCUCUGAAUAUUUUAAUCUUAAUAAUCCGAGCAUAUUAUUCCUAUCUGUGCUGAUCUUUGAUUUUGAUAAACUGAAUUGAAUAUUAUUCCUAUCAGUUGUUUAUUAAAACAUCGUUUCAGUUAUUUAAUUUUAUUUAAUUUAUUUAAUUUCAUUUAUUUAAUAUUUAAUUGCUCGCCUCUGUGUGUGCUUCAGCUUGCUUGCAACAGUACAGCAACAGUAUAAGAUAAUAGGUAAUUUCAUCAUAUACAUAAUUUUUAUGGUCAUAACGUUCUUAUCCAAUGAGAAAAGGUAAUCAGGUAUAGUUAACUCCCACAUUCCAGUGUCAAGGCAAGGCUUAAAAUCUUCUUAGGUAAAAAGAGCCUUCAUCUACCCUAAUUAUUCCUACUUUUUAGCUUUGAAAGUAGGGCAUUCGUAGGCCAAAGUCAAAAGUCUUUUUAAACUUACUUUCCAGUAGGCAUUAUGAGAUCACCCAGCUCUGUGUGUGUGUGUGUGUGUGUGCGUGUGUGUGUCCCCACUUUGCAAUGCCUGGACAAAUAUGCACCAAACUGGGUACAGUUGUAGGGACAUAUCUAUGGCAUAGUUUGUAAUGUCGUAAUCCACCCCAAUUCAAGAAGGUGGAAAAGUAAACGUUUGAGGCAAACUUUAGCAAUUGGGCUAACUUGUGAACUGUCCAACUUAUUUGAACCAAGUUUGCUACAGCUGUAUGGACAUAUAGGGACACCUCAAUGGCGUAGUUUCUAAUGAUGUCAUCCACCCCAAUUUAAGAUGGCAGACACAUGAAUGUUUGAGGCACAAGUGGGCUAACCUGUGAACUGCCUAACUGAUUUAGACCAAAUUUAGUCCAGUUGUAGGGAUAGUGAAAGGAAAGUAGGCAAAUUAAUUCACAAUAGAACAACUUGUUCUUUUUUUUUUUUACCAGAGACACUCCUAAGGAUUCUGACCCUCACAAUUAAUGGAAGAGGGGUCCUUCAAGCCCUCCCCCCUUAUGAACAUAUGAAGCUGCCAUAAUACUAAGUCACCGAAGGCUGCCUUUCACUUAACUGCCUCAAGAUUUAGCUCUAGGCUGAACUAGUAGAUAUACAUCAUCCACUUAUUUCUCUAGCGCAUGCACAAGAAUCUGUGACGAGCUGAGAAGAGGGUGCCAUGGGAGGAUUUCUGCACUUUCUGAAGAAGAGAGUCCUGCAUGUGAACAGCUCAGCAGAACAACAGAGCCUUGCUCUGAGCAUCUACCACUAGCCUGCAUCAUUUCCAAGCCUCGUGCCCUACCGGUGAACAAAUCCUUUGAAGCCUUCUUUGUGAAACUGGCGAGAAGCCUAUUCAACGAACAGCUCAGCCUGCUCCCCCUUCCCUCCUCCCUCCUAAUCACUGCCACCCCAUUCCUAAGCCCUCCCUUCUUUCUUCUCUCUCUGUUUCUCUCUAAAUGUUUUAUUAGGAUUUGUUAGACAGCUGUAAUUACUGAUUGCAAACACAUUUGAUAACUAGGCACACUGCACUACACUUUGAAUCGGAAACAUGUUUAAUUUGGAUGACCUGUUUGAAUUUUAUCCUGAUGAACAACUUUCUAUAAUAAAGCCCAUUGAACUUUC